GAGCCCUUGAGGAAGGCACUCCAGGGAUGGCUGGCAGCAGACUGAAAGGACAGAGCAGGAGGGGUCCGCCUGAGUGGGUGAUGGUUUUGGGGCCGCGUCCUGCAAGCCGGAGCCAGGACCCUUGGCUGCAAUGCAGCCUUCCCCACAGACAGCUCAGCGGCUGCCCCGUGGCUCUCCCCCGUGGGAUCCAGAGAGGGGCCAGCCCUGUGAGCUGGGGGGCUCCUGGCGUCCCCAUCCCAGCACUGUUGGGCAGCCAGAAACAGGGACCCUUUGGGGCUAGGGAAUGGACUCUCGUUGGCUCAGUCAAUCACCCCCAUGCACAUCCCAAGCCAGAGCCUCCAGCCUCACCUGGACGUAGAGCUCUCCUUGCGCAGUAAGCUCCUUAUCCUUCGGAGUUUUCCUCCAUCUAGACUGUCCGAGCUCAAGCGUUUGAUGAAGGUUGGCUUGCCAGCAAAUCUCACUGGGAUUGGGAAGGCAGAGGAGACUUACCGUCAACCCUUUGGCUCACUCACCAGGGGCGCUCAGGCCUGUUCCCAGAACAUGCGAGAGGGCCGCUCUGCUCCCCCCACUGCUGACAUCUGUGCCGCCCGCGGACCCUCCCUGAAACCAUCUCUGGCCCCACUUCUCCUCUCUGCCAUCUUGGGACUCUCUUUUGGGAGUGCAUUAGUGACGGUGGCUUUGGGAAAGCGGAGCUGGGUGGUGACGAUGAGCUGACAGGGUGACUUUUGGGGACCAUAUCCUUUUGUUGGGGGAGGGCGGGGCCUAAGGUGCCGAGGUGCUCCUGCCAUAGCCAGGGAUGGGGGCACGUCACAGCCAGCACCUUGGUUUUGGAGAGGCCAACAAUUCCUCGUGGGAAGAGGCCGUGCUGAGCUGGCGUGAAGCUUUGACGGAUGCCUCCUGAGGACCUGCGGCAUAUCCCAGGUGGUGGUUUGGGGACAAACUCCAUUUGAAACCUGUACGCGAGGAGACGACAGUGAGCGGUGGGACGCAGCGCUCCACCAAUCCUUGUUGCUCUCUCUGAUUGCCUGCUGACAGGCCCAUUUUCAUGCUGCAUGAUGGCCACUGCUUUCUAAAGGCUUCAGCAGGGCCAGGCUGAGAGCAACCUGAUGUGGCGGUAGGUGUCCCUGUUCCCUGCAGGGGAGUGGGACUAGGUGCCCUUUCCGGGUUCCUUCCAGCUCAAAUGAUGCGAUGAUUCUAUGCCAUAUCCUCGUGGGCAGGGCAGGGACACCCAUGGUCACAAGGAACAAAUGCUACGGCAUGAGAGCUGAGCAGCUGCAGCAAGCAGCAGCUACAGCCCCCAACAUACUCACUUGGGAAAGACGACGAGGCAGCCAGAGAGUGCCAGGGAGGCCACCGGUGCCGCUCGGGACACCACCAUGUCCAGCAGCCAGGGGGCCUGCAGGGGAGGAACAGGGAGGAUGUGGGAUGUCCUUGUGACGGCUGAGGCACUGGGCGCACAAGGAGCCCAAGGCAGGGAGGGCUGACGGCACCGCAGCACUUGCACGGCGCGAGCAGCUGGCCAGGUGCUGGUGGUAGAAAGCUACAGCUCACCUUGAGAAGAGCUUUCCUGAACUUCUCUUUCCCUGACAGCUUGUCAAGGAAGUCGUAAUAGAAUUUCAUGUGGAAGGUCAUUCCAUCGAUGUGGAGCACUCCAAUGUCCUUGAAGACAACGGCAACGUUCUCCCCAUUCUUCAGGCAGCCAGAGAGCAGGGACACGGUGCUUUGGAUGCAAGCCUGCGCUGUCUGCCAGGUCACAGAGGCAGCUGCGGCCACCUCGCUGCUCUUGAGCGGCUCCAGCUUCCUAUGGGCUGAAAAAUGGGAGGGACGGAGUUGAUGAUACGGUUGGUUUUCCGCAGUGCUUCCCUGGAACUGCUUCUUGUGGCCAUCAGCCAGAACGGCCCCAUGUUUGGCUGGGCUCCUCCGAGGGGGAGGUUUGCUUUGGAGAAUGGAGGCGGUGGCCCUGUUGGCCCUGUGCGUGAAGCCAGCAAAGCUUUAAUCCUCCCUCCUACCUGGCAGGGACUCCCUGCGGGGCUUGAGGUGGUGCACGGCUAUGAGGUUUCCAGACAAGUGAAAGACGGGCCACCGCAGAGUCACGGUCCCGUCCUCAGUCCUGAUGUCUCUGGAGAUGGUGUCAAAGGAUCCGAAGGUGGGAAUCCAGACCCCCUACAAGUGGUAGAGAAAGGAAGGGCGGCAGGGUUAUGGGCCGGCUGGCUGGAGGAAGAGCCCAUGUAGCGGUCCAAGGCAGGGACGGAGCUCAGGAGCCCUCUCUCGCUGUUCAGAGGCACAAGCCAGGGCAUCGGGAAUGGCUUUGGGAAGGGGCUGCACAGUCCUCUCCUUCCCCUCACCCUCCCAAAUGCAGCACAGCAGUCAGGGCAGAAGCAGCCUGAUGGGAUCCAGAGGCUUCCCGCGAGCGGGAUCAGCCCUGAGACAGGACAGCGCCCAGCACAAGUGAUCCUGCGGGAUUUGCAGGAAGCCCAUGGCAUGCCCAGUAGAGACACGUGGGGAGGUGCUCUUGUACGUAGGCGGCCACCGCAUCCCAGACGGCAACUCGCUCUGGAGGGCAAAGGAAAAGCAGGUCACACUCUGCACCUGCCGCUUCCCGGCAGCCCUCCUGCUGCCAGGCGGGAGUGAGGUGGCAGAUGGAAAGUGUCGUCUGCGUGCCAGGAUUGGCUGCAGCAGCGCUCCUGUGGUGGCUGUGGAGCCGUGUACCUUCGGUGUCGGUGCAGGUGGGUAUGGAGGCACGCCUCGCUGCGGGGCCAUCCUCGCAGAAGCUCAUCCUGUUCCGCCUCGUGCCAGCGGGUUGCUCCUUGUUGGCGCCAGCCAUGCCGGAGCUCAUCCCUUCAGGUGCGUCUGCUCUCUACCAGAUGCUCCUUCAGGAUGCAGGACCCACCAGCGUGCACCGCCUUCAUACCCCUCCCGGGUGGCCGUGUCACAAACGUCGCCACGGCGACGCGGUGACAGCGUGGCCAGUGCUGGCCGCCGCCCAUGAUGACGCUGGCACCAGCAGCCUGCUGCCCACCCCGGGUGGCAGUGCUGGCACCUCUCUGUUUCCUCUCUCUUCUCUUCUUUGCUCUCCAUGUUAUGUGACUCGUUUUUCUUUAGUAGCCGUUGCCUGAAUUGAUCUUCAAGUUGUUGACACAGAAACAACUCCUGUUCCAAAGGACUCUACGCGUAACGUUGAAAACCUGUUGCCAGAAGGUUUCUUUCCUUUGCCUGGCAGUUUUUUCCUUGAUUCUUUGUUGGAACGCUCACUGAAUUACCCGGCAUUGAUCCUCGACAUCAUUGUGGUGACUGCGUCGCACCCGCAACCCUAGCGGGCAGGGAGUGCUGUGUUUGGGGGAUCUGCACCUGCACUCCCCUUCUGCUGUCCUUUCUUCCCUGUAGCCUCGCUUGCUUUUGCAUUUGCACUUCUCUUACGCUCUUGGUUCUUCCCUGUAUUCUCCCUGCUUUUCCGUCUGCAUUCUCACUCUUUUCCUGUUUUUUCUCUUCUGCUUCUCUUCUGCUGUUCUAUCCUCUGUGUAUCCUCACUGCUCUUUCAUCUCUAUCCUUGCUCUUCAGCGUUUUUUUCCCCUGCUUCCUCUCCAUACUUCGUCUGCCCUGCUUUUCUUCCCUGUAACGUGACAUCUCUUUUCUUCUGCAUCGGCUCUCCUCCUCCUCUUUCUUCCCUGUAUUCUCCCUGCUCAUUCUCGGGCAGCUGUGCUCCUCUUCUGCUGUUCUUUCCUCCUUGUAUCCUCACUCUUCUGAUGGUUUCCAUUGCAUCUCACCACUGCUCUUUCACCUGCAUCUGCUUUUCUCUUCUGCUGUAUGUUUCCCUGCUUCCUCACUCCUCUUUCUUCUGCAUUGGCUCUACUCUUCUGCUCUUCUUUCUUCCCUCACUCUUUUUCCAUCUGCCCACCUCUUAGGCUCUCCCUUCUUUUCUAUCCUCCCUGCUCUUUCCUCUGCAUUCUCACUCUUCUCCUGUUCUUAUUCCCCUGCAUCAUCCUCACUCCUUUUCCCUCUGCAUCAGCACUGCUCUUCUGUUGGAUUUUGUUUCCUGUUGCCAGACUUGUCUUUAUUCUGCAUCUGCACUCCUCUUCUACUGCUCUUUCUUCUCUGUAUCCUCACUCCUCUUUCUGCUGCCUCUGCUCUCCUCUCUGCUUUUUUUUUUGGUCCCUGUAUUCUCACUUGUCUUUCUUCUGACUGCUCUUGAAGAGAGAGAGCAGGACCCUGCAGUUCGAGAGAGAAGGGCCUCACAGCAAGAAAGGGGAAAGCAGCUUCACAAAGUAGAAACAAGGGGCAAAUAGAGAUAGUUUAGGUAGAGAGUGUUAGAAAACAAGGGGUUCCAAGCACUUGCACAGACACUGGGUCUGGAAUAGCAAGGAGGAUGAAGGCCAUAGAGAUAAGGGCUGGAGAGCAGCUCGAAAAAACAUUUGGCAGGGAGGUGAUUAGAUGUCUACAGGGCAAGUUGAAACUGGUUUGGGGGAUGCCCCCCCUUCAGGGUCAGAAGUUUGCAGCGAGGAAGACUACGAGCCUUUGUGAGGAAGACUGCAAGCCUUCAUCAUCACGACCUACUACGCCCGCGCAAGGGGGGGAGAGACUGCAUGCUAAUGGGCUCUCGGGAAUGUAAUGAAGAUGUAUCUGAAUUCCUGUCAACUACUGAUUAUGUAUUAGUUUGACCUGAAGGGAAGAUAAAUCCCUGCAACGUGCUGAACUGCUGUGUAGAAUGAGCUCUGUUUUAAUCUCGUUCCUCUACGAUGCUCAGCUUUCCUAGCUUCUCCCCUGCCUAAGCACACACUUCUGUCCCUUGGCAUUAACCAUCACGCACAGCGGGAUCAAAUCUGAGCUCUGUCUCCUCCUGCUUCUUUCCAGAAGGAUGAGACAAACAGCAGAAAACAACCAGCCUACACAGCUAACUCGUUUGGGGUUGCUCCGGACGUUUGGAUGUUCCCUUCCAUGGCCCAGGCCAAGCUCGCUGAGCUGCUCCUCCUUUGUGCAGGGGAAGACCGGUGCAGGUGCAAUGCGCUGGCAAAUCCACCUGCAGAAAACACUGCCAUUCCCUUUAGAAACAAAGAAACCACUCUGCCCUUGCUCCUGAGCCUGGUCCCUGCCUCCACCUGCAGGGCUUGGCUAUCCUGCCUCUGUUCGUGGGCCACUAAAUGAAAUCCAGACAACAGAAACAAAAAGAGGCAGAGGAGUGGCACUAAUACUUCCCCGUUGGCGGGAAUCUCAACAGAAAGUGCUGUGCUAAAGCUGUGAGGUUCAGGGAACACCCCUAUCAAGGCAAAAGACGUAGAAUGGAAGGUUUGGUUAGUCUUCUGACUAGAAGAAGAGAAAGGACUAUUACCUCCUAUUUUAUUUUUCUUUCAGUCUCUCUCGUCAUGUAAAUCUGAGGAUGACCAAAGCCUGUUGCCCCAAGCAUUGCUGAACCCAUCAAAAUGGUUGCUCAGAGGUAUUGCACCGGCACAUCGCACAGAAGAACUGUGUAACCUAAGUAGCAAGGGGAGAAGAAAGGGGAGCGGCUAACAUUCAUUACCUCCCCUAAACUGAUAGUCGUUGGCUUCUUGUCCCAUCCAAAUCCUGGCAAGCAGGAUAACAAAGAUUUAGUGAUGUUUACAACUGUGGUAGGGAUUGCUGGAUACAACCAGCCACCCAAGGCUGAGCACGCUCUCCGAUCCCUUUCGCAAUUCUAGAAAUACCCAGAAGAGCUCCGUGUUCUCUUGCUUUCAUUUCCUUACACGAACCAUUUUCAAAUGCACGUUGUCAUAGGCUGACACAAGAUCUAGGGCCUAAAGCCACAGCCACAGAGGUGGACACUGGCCCCAGGGCCUGAAUCCAUAUCUACAGCCAGACAGGCCGGCACCAGCCCUGUGGCCUAAAAACACAGACAGAGAAACCGGCACCGGCCUCGGGGCCUGGAACUACAGCCACAGCUGGAGAGGCCACUACCAGCUUUGGGCCUAAAGCCACAGCCACAGCCAGACAAACCAGCACGGACCCUGGGGCCUGAAGCCACAGGCACAGCCUGAGAGACUGGCACCAGCUCUGGGGUCUAAAGCCACAAAAAAAGAGGCCAGCACUGAGCCCAGGCCCUAAAGCCACAGCCUGAGAGGCUGACGCCGGCCACAGGGCUUAAAGCAAAAGCCACAGCCAGGCAGGCCAAAAAAGGCCCUGGGGACUAAAGGCACAGCUUGAAAGGCUUGAAACAGUGCAGGGGCUUAAAGCCACAGCCAAACUUAGAGAGGCCGGCACCUGAAGCCCCAACCAGCAAGGCCAGCACCGGCCCAAGGGCCUGAAGUCACAGCCAGAGAGGCCUACACCGGCCCCAGGGCCUAAAGCCCCAGACCCAGUCUGAGAAACCAGCACCAGCCCCAAGGCCUGAGGCCACAGCCACAGCCACACAGGCUGCCAGCGACCCCAGGGCCUAAAGCCACAGCCCAAAAGGCCAGCACUGGCCCCGGGGCCUAAAGCCACAUCCAGAGAGGCUGGAACCAGGCCAAGGGCCUAAAGCCACAGCCACGGCACAAGAGGCCAGCACCAGCUUUGAAUAUAAAUCCACAGCCCAAGAGGCCUAUACCGGCCCCGAGGCCUGAAGGUACAGCCACAGCCCGAGAGGCCUACAUCGGUCCCCGAACCUAACGCCACAGCCAGACAGACCUGCACCAGCCCCGGGACAUCCAGGCGUGCGUUGCUAUUGGUUUCCAGUGAUUCCUCUGGGACUCCAUUGACCACUGUGAAGCCGUAUUGGUCUUUUCUGUUUUUUAUUGGGCUGCACAAGAGUCGUCUUCACUUCUCCAUUCCUGUUCUUCAGAUAACCCCAUUGGGUGACCCUAAGAUGUGGAGCUGGGAGGCGUCCAUUUCCUUCGCUUAUGAUGAAAGCACCGAGGCGAUGCGGGCACUCGCUGAGGUCACAACCACUGCUGGGGUGGGAGCGUUUGUGCCACAGCUGGUGAGCAGAGCUGGUGCUCUGGUGAGCGUGCUGCACGCAGAGACUGAGCUCUGGGCCUUCUGUGGAACAGAUCACCCUGUGAGAGCCCGACGGAAGCAUCGCGUGUGCACUCGUCGGUACUUUCUGCAGGAUUCCUGUCCCAAAGGAGAUUCCGGGAUAGAGGCGGUCUUAGGAAGAGGGAAGCCAGCUCUUUCCAAGGGCUGGGGAAGUUCCUGCAGAGAGAGCCUCUGGAACUUCAGCUUCCUCUGAGCCUUCAGCAGCCAUGUCUCAGCAAGGAGACGACCGCGGUUCCAAUUCCUGCCGUGUGAGUGGCAAGGUAUGGCUGGGCUUCUUCUGCUUGGUGCUUCCGUUUCCUUGUUUUCAAGGGGAAGGGACGGAGCAAGGGGAGCCCUGCUGGUCCUUGGUGACCUCAGUAACCGGUUGGAUUCAGCGCUCACUGCUGACAGCCUGGGCUAACAACGUGGACGUGGCUCAGGCUGUCUUUUCCCAUAGUGAUAAUCAGUGUCUCAGCACUCUGAUAUCCCAUCUGUGGCACGAUCUGGAACCUCUCUGCAAACCUUGGCUGCCCGUUCCCACCACCGUUUCUCCCUUUCUCUCUUCAGAAGUGGCGCGGUGCGGUUCCCCGCGGUUGGGAGCAGCAGCCAGCAGGCUGCCAGAGAUCCAACCGCGCCUUGCAGCGCACAGGGGGACGCAACAGGGACGGACGGUCCUUCCUGCCAUACAGAAGUGAGUUUCUUCAGCCCUCUGUCGCAAAGUGUGGAGGAAUGAAUUUUGAGUAUUCCUUCUGAGCGGGUGCAGUGCUGUAGGGGAUGUCAAGUAAGCAUCCAUUUGGAGUGCAGGAAGGAGCAGUGCAAAGUGAACUAUCAAUCCGUUUGUGUUUGGGCUGUCAAAGAAGCAUCUUUCUGUUUCCUGGGGGGACGUGGGCUUACUGCAUGAUAUUUCUGCUGCUGCCUGCUGGUGCCUGUGAAAUCAACGUUGU